UCUCGGGAGGCUGCAGUGGGGAAUAUUGGACAAUGGGCGAAAGCCUGAUCCAGCCAUGCCGCGUGUGUGAAGAAGGCCUUCGGGUUGUAAAGCACUUUCAGUGGGGAAGAAAGCCUUGGGGCUAAUACCCUCGAGGAAGGACAUCACCCACAGAAGAAGCACCGGCUAACUCCGUGCCAGCAGCCGCGGUAAUACGGAGGGUGCGAGCGUUAAUCGGAAUUACUGGGCGUAAAGCGCGCGUAGGCGGUCUGAUAAGCCGGUUGUGAAAGCCCCGGGCUCAACCUGGGAACGGCAUCCGGAACUGUCAGGCUAGAGUGCAGGAGAGGAAGGUAGAAUUCCCGGUGUAGCGGUGAAAUGCGUAGAGAUCGGGAGGAAUACCAGUGGCGAAGGCGGCCUUCUGGACUGACACUGACGCUGAGGUGCGAAAGCGUGGGUAGCAAACAGGAUUAGAUACCCUUGUAGUC
rnacentral:rRNA from 1 species